rnacentral:rRNA from 1 species
UGACCGCACGAUCCGGUAGCAGGUCUGAGAGGAUGAUCAGCCACACUGGGACUGAGACACGGCCCAGACUCCUACGGGAGGCAGCAGUGGGGAAUAUUGGACAAUGGGGGGAACCCUGAUCCAGCAAUGCCGCGUGUGUGAAGAAGGCCUGAGGGUUGUAAAGCACUUUCGGCGGGGAGGAGGAUGAGUUGGUUAAGAGCUGACUUAUUGGACGUUACCCCCAUAAGAAGCACCGGCUAACUCCGUGCCAAGGCCGCGGUAAUACGGAGGGUGCGAGCGUUAAUCUGAAUUACUGGGAAAAAGGGUGCGUAGGUGGUUAUGUAAUUUAUCUGUGAAAUCCCUGGGCUUAACCUUGGUGUGUCAGAUAAAACUGUGUUCUAGAGUAUGAGAGAGGAUAGUGUAAUUUCCGGUGUAGCGGUGAAAUGCAUAGAGAUCGGAAAGAAAACCGGUGGCGAAGGCUGCUACCUGG